CAGCCGCCGCGGUAAUACCAGCUCACAGAGUGGUGAUCAUGAUUAUUUGGCUUAAAGUGUGCGUAGCAGGGAAUUCUAAGUCCUCUGUGAAAUGUCAGGUCUUAAGCUUGACCCGUGCAGAGGAUACUGGAAUCCUUGGGACUGGGAUAGGUGUAAUGUACGGUUUGGGUAGGGGUGAAAUCCGAUAAUCCAAGCCGGACAACCGGUGGCGAAGGCGUUACACUGGAACAGGUCCGACUGUGAGGCACGAAAGCUAGGGUCGCGAGCCGGAUUAGAUACCCGGGUAGUCCUAUGCUGUAAACGAUGCUCACUAAGUGUUAGGUAAUGCAAGACAUUCUCUAGUGCCGAAGCGAAAGCGUUAAGUGAGCCGCCUGGGAAGUACGUUCGCAAGAAUGAAACUUAAAGGAAUUGGCGGGGGCCUACUACAAGAAGUGGAGCCUGCGGUUUAAUUGGACUCGACUCCGGGAAACUCACCUGGGCCGUAACGUGGAUGAUUGUCCUGUUGAAGACACUGCUUGACGCGUUACUGGAGGUGCAUGGCCAUCGUCAGUUCGUGCCGUGAGGUGUCCUGUUAAGUCAGGCAACGAACGAGAUCCCUACCGUCAAUUGCCAGCGAGACCAACUUGGUCGUCGGGGACAUUGGCGGGACUGCUCGCGAAAAAGUGAGAGGAAGGAAGGGCCAACGGUAGGUCAGUAUGCCCCGAUAUGCCCAGGGCUACACGCGGGCUACAAUGGCUGGUACAAAGGGUUCCGGCACCGAAAGGUGGAGGCAAUCUCUAAAGCCAGUCUCAGUUGGGACUGUGGGCUGCAACUCGCCCACAUGAACUUGGAAUUUCUAGUAAGCGCACGUCAACAGCGUGCACUGAAUACGUCCCUGGGCCUUGCACACACCGCCCGUCGCAGCACGCGAGACGGGCUUGCCAGAGGUUACGGCUUAUACCGUAUUCGAUGGUAAGUUCGUUGAGCAGGCUGAAGUCGUAACAAGGUAACCGUA
rnacentral:rRNA from 1 species